AACGAACGCUGGCGGCAUGCCUAACACAUGCAAGUCGAACGAGACCUUCGGGGCUAGUGGCGCACGGGUGCGUAACGCGUGGGAACGUGCCCUUAGGUUCGGAAUAACUCCGCGAAAGGGGUGCUAAUACCGGAUAAUGUCUUCGGACCAAAGAUUUAUCGCCUUUGGAUGGGCCCGCGUUGGAUUAGCUAGUUGGUAGGGUAAAAGCCUACCAAGGCGACGAUCCAUAGCUGGUCUGAGAGGAUGAUCAGCCACACUGGGACUGAGACACGGCCCAGACUCCUACGGGAGGCAGCAGUGGGGAAUCUUGCACAAUGGGCGAAAGCCUGACGCAGCCAUGCCGCGUGAGUGAUGAAGGUCUUAGGGUUGUAAAGCUCUUUUACCCGGGACGAUAAUGACGGUACCCGGAGAAUAAGCCCCGGCUAACUUCGUG
rnacentral:rRNA from 1 species